AGCAGCCGCGGUAAUUCCAGCUCCAAUAGCGUAUAUUAAAGUUGUUGCAGUUAAAAAGCUCGUAGUUGAAUUUCGGGAUCAAUCUAUCGGUCGUGCAAUAGUACGUACUGAUUUAUUGAUUCCUACCUUCUGAUGAACUAUGAUGUCAUUAAUUUGGUGUCAUAGGGAAUCAGGACUGUUAACUUUGAAAAAAUUGAGUGUUUAAAGCAGGCUCACGCUUGAAUACAUUAGCAUGGAAUAACGAAAUAGGACGUUUGAUUCUAUUUUGUUGGUUUCUAGGAUCGACGUAAUGAUUAAUAGGGAUAGUUGGGGGCAUUAGUAUUCAAUUGUCAGAGGUGAAAUUCUUGGAUUUAUUGAAGACUAACUACUGCGAAAGCAUUUGCCAAGGAUGUUUU
rnacentral:rRNA from 1 species